CAAGUCUCAACUUGUUCACUGCUACUCCUCACUAACCCCCAUUCUCUUUUCUGCUCCGGCGAUUUCAAUGGCCGCCGCCGCUCUUUCUUUGCUUAACAACGGAGAGUUAGCUUCUUCCGUUAAGUCUCCGGGUACCGGACGAUAUGCUGCCGUUUACAGUGAAGUUCAAAACAGUCGUUUAGAUCACCCUCUUCCUCUUCCUUCUGUUCUCGGAAGCCCUUUCAAAGUCGUUGAUGGUCCUCCUUCAUCUGCCGCCGGUCAUCCAGAGGAGAUUGCAAAGCUUUUUCCUUCCUUAUACGGACAACCAUCUGUUUCAUUGGUGCCUGAUGAUUCUGGGGAUGUUGCGAUGAAUCAAAUCUUGAAAAUAGGAGUGGUGUUAUCUGGAGGCCAAGCUCCCGGAGGACAUAAUGUUAUUUCUGGAAUUUUUGAUUAUUUGCAGACUCAUUGCAAGGGAAGCACAAUGUAUGGAUUCAGGGGUGGACCAGCUGGAGUCAUGAAGGGAAAGUAUGUGGGGUUGACCCCGGAGUUCAUUUACCCAUACAGAAAUCAGGGUGGAUUUGAUAUGAUUUGCAGUGGUAGGGACAAGAUUGAGACUCCAGAGCAGUUUAAGCAAGCUGAAGAGACAGCAAAGAAGCUCGAUCUAGAUGGUCUUGUCGUAAUUGGUGGAGAUGACUCCAAUACAAAUGCUUGUCUUCUUGCUGAGAACUUCAGAAGUAAAAAUUUGAAAACUCGGGUUAUUGGAUGCCCGAAAACCAUAGAUGGUGACUUAAAAUCGAAAGAGGUUCCCACAAGUUUUGGCUUUGAUACGGCAUGCAAGAUAUAUGCAGAAAUGAUUGGGAAUGUGAUGGUAGAUGCUCGAUCAACAGGAAAAUACUAUCAUUUUGUGCGGCUCAUGGGGCGUGCUGCUUCACACAUUACUCUAGAGUGUGCUCUGCAAACUCAUCCAAACGUUACUUUGAUUGGAGAAGAGGUAUUUGCAAAGAAACUGACUCUUAAGAAUGUUACGGAUUACAUUGCUGAUGUGGUCUGCAAGCGCGCAGAGUCAGGUUACAAUUAUGGAGUUAUUCUCAUUCCCGAAGGACUUAUAGAUUUCAUUCCUGAGGUUCAGCAACUCAUUGCGGAACUAAAUGAAAUAUUGGCACAUGAUGUCGUAGAUGAAGCUGGUGUUUGGAAAAAGAAACUUACUCCCCAGUGCCUUGAGCUCUUUGAGUUGUUGCCCCUAGCUAUUCAGGAACAACUGCUUCUUGAGAGAGAUCCACACGGCAAUGUCCAGGUUGCGAAAAUUGAAACUGAG
rnacentral:misc_RNA from 1 species